UUUGUGACAUACCUAUAACUGUUGCUUCGGCGGGCAGGGUCUCCGUGACCCUCCCGGCCUCCCGCCCCCGGGCGGGUCGGCGCCCGCCGGAGGAUAACCAAACUCUGAUUUAACGACGUUUCUUCUGAGUGGUACAAGCAAAUAAUCAAAACUUUUAACAACGGAUCUCUUGGUUCUGGCAUCGAUGAAGAACGCAGCGAAAUGCGAUAAGUAAUGUGAAUUGCAGAAUUCAGUGAAUCAUCGAAUCUUUGAACGCACAUUGCGCCCGCCAGCAUUCUGGCGGGCAUGCCUGUUCGAGCGUCAUUUCAACCCUCAAGCUCUGCUUGGUGUUGGGGCCCUACAGCUGAUGUAGGCCCUCAAAGGUAGUGGCGGACCCUCCCGGAGCCUCCUUUGCGUAGUAACUUUACGUCUCGCACUGGGAUCCGGAGGGACUCUUGCCGUAAAACCCCCAAUUUUCCAAAGGUUGACCUCGGAUCAGGUAGGAAUACCCGCUGAACUUAAGCAUAUCAAUAACCGGAGGAAGA
rnacentral:rRNA from 2 species